rnacentral:rRNA from 1 species
AUUAUACGUCAUUUCACCUCCUUCAUCCGAGAUUACCCGCUGAACUUAAGCAUAUCAAUAAGCGGAGGAAAAGAAACCAACAGGGAUUGCCUCAGUAACGGCGAGUGAAGCGGCAAAAGCUCAAAUUUGAAACCCUCGGGAUUGUAAUUUGAAGAUUUGGCAUUGGAGAAAGCUAACCCAAGUUGCUUGGAAUAGUACGUCAUAGAGGGUGACAACCCCGUCUGGCUAACCGUUCUCCAUGUAUUGCCUUAUCAAAGAGUCGAGUUGUUUGGGAAUGCAGCUCAAAGUGGGUGGUAAACUCCAUCUAAAGCUAAAUACUGGUGAGAGACCGAUAGCGAACAAGUACUGUGAAGGAAAGGUGAAAAGAACUUUGAAAAGAGAGUGAAAUAGUAUGUGAAAUUGUUGAUAGGGAAGGAAAUGAGUGGAGAGUGGCCGAGGUUUCAGCCGCCCCUCGUGGGCGGUGUACUGCCGACGCCGAGUCAUCGAUAGCGAGACGAGGGUUACAAAUGGGAGCGCCUUCGGGCGUUCUCCCCUAACCCUCCACACUGCCACCGACGACAAAUCCACCGCAUUACUGG